rnacentral:rRNA from 1 species
GCCGAGCGGUAGAGAUUCUUCGGAAUCUUGAGAGCGGCGCACGGGUGCGGAACACGUGUGCAACCUGCCUUUAUCUGGGGGAUAGCCUUUCGAAAGGAAGAUUAAUACCCCAUAAUAUAUUGAGUGGCAUCACUUAAUAUUGAAAACUCCGGUGGAUAGAGAUGGGCACGCGCAAGAUUAGAUAGUUGGUGAGGUAACGGCUCACCAAGUCAAUGAUCUUUAGGGGGCCUGAGAGGGUGAUCCCCCACACUGGUACUGAGACACGGACCAGACUCCUACGGGAGGCAGCAGUGAGGAAUAUUGGACAAUGGGUGAGAGCCUGAUCCAGCCAUCCCGCGUGAAGGACGACUGCCCUAUGGGUUGUAAACUUCUUUUAUACUGGGAUAAACCUACCCUCGUGAGGGUAGCUGAAGGUACAGUAUGAAUAAGCACCGGCUAACUCCGUGCCAGCAGCCGCGGUAAUACGGAGGGUGCAAGCGUUAUCCGGAUUUAUUGGGUUUAAAGGGUCCGUAGGCGGACUCGUAAGUCAGUGGUGAAAUCUCAUAGCUUAACUAUGAAACUGCCAUUGAUACUGCGGGUCUUGAGUAAAGUAGAAGUGGCUGGAAUAAGUAGUGUAGCGGUGAAAUGCAUAGAUAUUACUUAGAACACCAAUUGCGA